rnacentral:lncRNA from 1 species
GAUCUCUCCGCCCUGCGCUUGGAUCGGUUUCUCUUCCUGCUUCUUCUAGACGUGAGGUCAUGUGGCUGGAGGAAUCCGAACUGUGUUCAGGUCUGUCUGCUACCAGUGUCCACAAGUCCCCUCCCCUUGGAGCCACAGGAGCCCCGAAUCUGCACUUGACCUGAUUGUGCCCCUGGCAGCGUCUUGCUUGGAGACCUUGGCUAUUUGCCUAAGGUCUACUGUGCGCCCUCAUCAUAUCCCAUCACAUCUUAAGUUCUCCUUCUAAAUCUGUCUUUCC